UACGGGGGGGGCAAGCGUUGUUCGGAAUUACUGGGCGUAAAGGGCUCGUACGCGGCCAACUAAGUCAGACGUGAAAUCCCUCGGCUUAACCGGGGAACUGCGUCUGAUACUGGAUGGCUUGAGGUUGGGAGAGGGAUGCGGAAUUCCAGGUGUAGCGGUGAAAUGCGUAGAUAUCUGGAGGAACACCGGUGGCGAAGGCGGCAUCCUGGACCAAUUCUGACGCUGAGUGAGCGAAAGCCAGGGGAGCAAACGGG
rnacentral:rRNA from 1 species